rnacentral:rRNA from 1 species
CUCAGAUUGAACGCUGGCGGCAUGCCUUACACAUGCAAGUCGAACGGCAGCGGGGACUUCGGUCCGCCGGCGAGUGGCGAACGGGUGAGUAAUAUAUCGGAACGUACCUUUCAGUGGGGGAUAACGUAGCGAAAGUUACGCUAAUACCGCAUAUUCUGUGAGCAGGAAAGCAGGGGAUCGCAAGACCUUGCGCUGAUUGAGCGGCCGAUAUCAGAUUAGCUAGUUGGUGAGGUAAAGGCUCACCAAGGCGACGAUCUGUAGCGGGUCUGAGAGGAUGAUCCGCCACACUGGAACUGAGACACGGUCCAGACUCCUACGGGAGGCAGCAGUGGGGAAUUUUGGACAAUGGGGGCAACCCUGAUCCAGCCAUGCCGCGUGAGUGAAGAAGGCCUUCGGGUUGUAAAGCUCUUUCGGCCGGGAAGAAAUCGCACGGGCUAAUACCCUGUGUGGAUGACGGUACCGGAAUAAGAAGCACCGGCUAACUACGUGCCAGCAGCCGCGGUAAUACGUAGGGUGCGAGCGUUAAUCGGAAUUACUGGGCGUAAAGCGUGCGCAGGCGGUUUAGUAAGACAGGCGUGAAAUCCCCGGGCUCAACCUGGGAACUGCGCUUGUGACUGCUAAGCUAGAGUACGGCAGAGGGGGGUGGAAUUCCACGUGUAGCAGUGAAAUGCGUAGAGAUGUGGAGGAACACCGAUGGCGAAGGCAGCCCCCUGGGCCGAUACUGACGCUCAUGCACGAAAGCGUGGGUAGCAAACAGGAUUAGAUACCCUGGUAGUCCACGCCCUAAACGAUGUCAACUAGGUGUUGGGUGGGUAAAACCAUUUAG